rnacentral:misc_RNA from 1 species
UUGGUUAAUUUUAAGCGGCAUCUCGGUUAAUCCUAUCUACAGUACAUUGCAGUAACAGGAUGGUUUAUAUUUAAAAAAAAAUCAUAUAUGUUUAUAAAAGAAACUCAGGAAGAGGAAAACGGUCAAGGGAAGCACUGAAUAAGGCGAUAGAAGUUGUUUUGAAGCGAGAAAUGGGAUAUAUGUUGGCUGCAAAAUUUUUCUUAGUCCCACAACUACAUUGGAAUGAAAGUGACCAAGAAGACAUUAAAAGUGACGAAUAAACGCGGUAAAACUACUAUCAUAACCUCUUCACCCUAUUAGAACCUAACAGAAGUUGUUAAGAGUUAAGUUAGAAGAAUUUAUUUAAAAAAAAUGUGACAGAAAAGUUAAAAAAGCAAAACAAGGAAAUCAGACAGAGAAAAAAGGAGCGAAAACAGAAAAAGGAAGAGAAACAAAACCUAUUUCAAGACUAAAGAACCACAAGCCACAAAGAAAUAUAAUCCAAAGAAACGUAUUAGACAGUCGUCUUCUGAAAAGAGUAAUGUUGAAACCGAAAACACUCCAUACCUACAUUCUACAGGGUUAUAUUUCGACUCCAAGAGAGGUUGGAUUGCUUAUUCUUCUUGUGGUAAAUGGUUACAUUAUGGCUGCGCAGGAGUGGAUGAUAAUGAUGCCGAAG